rnacentral:rRNA from 1 species
UGGGGAAUAUUGGACAAUGGGGGCAACCCUGAUCCAGCAAUGCCGCGUGAGUGAAGAAGGCCCUAGGGUUGUAAAGCUCUUUUAUGGGGGAAGAUGAUGACUGUACCCCAUGAAUAAGUCCCGGCUAACUCCGUGCCAGCAGCCGCGGUAAUACGGAGGGGGCAAGCGUUGUUCGGAAUGACUGGGCGUAAAGGGCGUGUAGGCGGCUUCAUAAGUCAGACGUGAAAGCCCCGGGCUUAACCCGGGAAUUGCGUUUGAGACUGUGUGGCUAGAGUACGAGAGAGGAAAGCAGAAUUUCCAGUGUAGAGGUGAAAUUCGUAGAUAUUGGAAGGAAUACCGGUGGCGAAGGCGGCUUUCUGGAUCGUAACUGACGCUGAGGCGCGAAAGCGUGGGGAGCAAACAGG